UAAUCUCUAUAUGACUGGCGGAAAGUGGGAGCACCCACAGGGAGUAUGGAGACACUCUGAUCAUCAGAGUACGAAUGCCGACCGCCUGGGCGCUGAAC
rnacentral:ncRNA from 1 species